rnacentral:rRNA from 1 species
GACGAACGCUGGCGGCGUGCUUAACACAUGCAAGUCGAACGGAAAGGCCCUGCUUUUGUGGGGUGCUCGAGUGGCGAACGGGGGAGUAACACGUGAGUAACCUAACCUUGACUUUGGGGUAACUUCAGGAAACUGGGGCUAAUACCGGAUAGGAGAUCCUGCUGCAUGGUGGGGGGUGGAAAGUUUCGGCGGUUGGGGAUGGACUCGCGGCUUAUCAGCUUGUUGGUGGGGGAGUGGCUUACCAAGGCUUUGACGGGUAGCCGGCCUGAGAGGGUGACCGGCCACCUUGGUACUGAGAUACGGCCCAGACUCCUACGGUAGGCAGCGGUGGGGAAUAUUGCCCAAUGGGCGGAAGCCUGUUGCAGCAACGCCGCGUUCGGGAUGACGUCCUUCUGGUUGUAAACCGCUUUCGCCUGUGACGAAGCGUGAGUGACGGUAAUGGGUAAAGAAGCACCGGCUAACUACGUG